rnacentral:rRNA from 1 species
UACGGGGGGUGCGAGCGUUGUCCGGAAUCACUGGGCGUAAAGGGCGCGUAGGUGGCGUCGUAAGUCUGUGGUGAAAGCCCGGAGCUCAACUCCGGGUCUGCCGCGGAUACUGCGAGGCUUGAGUGCUGUAGAGGGGGGUAGAAUGCCGGGUGUAGCGGUGGAAUGCGUAGAGAUCCGGCAGAAGACCGGUGGCGAAGGCGGCCCCCUGGGCAGUAACUGACGCUGAGGCGCGAAAGCUAGGGGAGCAAACAGG